CCAAAGGCUCUUUUCAGAGCCAUCAUCUUUCCUGGCAGGCAGCAG
rfam:Macaca mulatta chromosome 6, whole genome shotgun sequence.